GGACACAGUACUCCAUGUGGGUUCUCACAAGAGCAGAGUAGAAAAGAAUCGCCUCCCUCCACCUGCUGGCUACAGCAUAUGAUUUAUUCUCUGGGCUGUGAGCGCGCACUGCUGGCUCAUACUCAGUUUUUAAUCCAUUAAUACCUCCAAGUCUUUCUCCUCAGGGUUGCUGUCCGUUCACUCAUCACUCAUCCUUCCAGAUGGAAUACCUCAUAGCAGUGGGAUGAAAUUGAACAUGGAGUCUCUUUGCAGAAAUCUUUUCUGCUUGGAGUUGUGCAUGCCAACUUUUUGAGACUAAGAUAUGAGUCCUCCAUGCUAGAUGUGCUACACAGUCCUAUAAAUGAGGACAAUCAAGAAUAUUCAGAGAUGCCAGAGGAAGAUAUUCCAGCAGGGACCCAGAAAAAGGAGAUCCUGUGAAACUGAAGGGAACUUAUGACUGUGCAGCAGGAUUUGGGACCAUGACCAUGACUCCAACACCUCAGACCCUGUGGCCCAAUCCAAGAAAUGCACAUCACAUGGCUGGGACUGCUGUGCUACAUGAACAUUGAGUAAUUCAUAAAGUUGCGUAUAUCUAUGAUUAAAGUAUUU